UACUACCAGCCCCUGCUUCCGUUCUCUUGAAGCUGACUUGUUCGUGCCUUGUGCUUCUCCUGUGCGCCAUUAGAAAGCGGCAGAGAAUUCAUUUAUCGUGUUUUCCAGCAUGGCCCUACCCACACAGACACCCUGUCUCCUUUACUGAUGAGUGGUGGAGUCUGGGUUCUCGGUCUUGAGACCGAGAGAGUCUUCGGAACCACUCUCACUAACUGAAUCCGUUGGAAGCGAAGCUGUGGGAAUUCUGGCAAGCAAGCUGCCGUGAGUCCUACAGCCACAAGAAAAUGAAUUCUGCCAAGAACCCGAGUGAACUUGGAAGUCUUGAUGGCAGCCUUGCCGCGGAUCCUGGGAGAAUGCAAAGCCUGGAAGAUUUUCUUUCUGAUGUUUUAUAUUGAAUAUUCUAUGUACUUAAUAGCUCAGAACCUUGUAAUUACUGUGCCACAUAUUGCCACUAAACUUCAGGAUUGAAUUUUCUCUACUUCUGCAUCUUUGGAGGUAGGCCAUUGGUACAGUUGCACACGAUGGAUUGGUCCACUUAUUGAGGGAAUCCACUCCCAAUCGCUUUCUCUGUCUCCCACCCCUGCUUUUCUAGAUGCAAGAUCGGGGGAAGAUCAGCAGAUUUCAAUAACCAAUAAACAAACAGGAACAGCCGAUAGGGUGAGGCUAAUAAGUUAAUCAUUGAGUUAAUACUAAUGAACAUAAUUCAGUAAAUGGUUGACAUUUUUCUGAUAUUUCAUUGGGAAGUUAAAUUUAAGAUACAACAAAGUUAUUUCUCUGGACCAUCAUUAAAGUGCAAUACAAAUAAAAAUCU